rnacentral:rRNA from 1 species
CGAGAGGACCGGAGUGGACGAACCUCUGGUGUUCCGGUUGUCACGCCAGUGGCAUCGCCGGGUAGCUAUGUUCGGAAGGGAUAACCGCUGAAAGCAUCUAAGCGGGAAGCCCCCCUCGAGAUAAGAUCUCACCAAAUCUUCGAGAUUUCUAAAGGGCCCUCGUAGACUACGAGGUUGAUAGGCGGGAUGUGUAAGCGCUGUGAGGCGUUGAGCUAACCCGUACUAAUUGCCCGUGCGGCUUGACCAUAUUACCGAG